rnacentral:rRNA from 1 species
GAUGAACGCUGGCGGCGUGCCUAAUACAUGCAAGUCGAGCGAACAGACGAGGAGCUUGCUCCUUUGACGUUAGCGGCGGACGGGUGAGUAACACGUGGAUAACCUACCUAUAAGACUGGGAUAACUUCGGGAAACCGGAGCUAAUACCGGAUAACAUGUUGAACCGCAUGGUUCAACAGUGAAAGACGGUCUUGCUGUCACUUAUAGAUGGAUCCGCGCCGCAUUAGCUAGUUGGUAAGGUAACGGCUUACCAAGGCAACGAUGCGUAGCCGACCUGAGAGGGUGAUCGGCCACACUGGAACUGAGACACGGUCCAGACUCCUACGGGAGGCAGCAGUAGGGAAUCUUCCGCAAUAGGCGAAAGCCUGACGGAGCAACGCCGCGUGAGUGAUGAAGGGUUUCGGCUCGUAAAACUCUGUUAUUAGGGAAGAACAAAUGUGUAAGUAACUGUGCACGUCUUGACGGUACCUAAUCAGAAAGCCACGGCUAACUACGUG